AAGGGUAUAGUUCAGUGGUAGAGCACAUGCUUAGCAUGCAGGAGAUCAUGGGUUCGAGUCCCAGUACCUCCA
rnacentral:tRNA from 1 species